CUUUGGAAGGGAGAAUGUGACCUGUAGCUGGUAAAAACAAGGAAUAGGGGUUGAUAAAGCCACACAUCAAUAUUCUGAACUCUGGAGAAUGUAAAGUACCCUGCUAUGUCUUCUCAUGAAGUAUGACAUAAUUUCUUGUUAGGGAAAAGUACCAAUACAACUCCCAAGGGAAAGAGCAAUUAAUGGAGAAAGAAACUAAAGAACUGGCCUCACAGUCAUGCCAGGAAGGUCAAUGUCUUCUGAAGUAACAUGCAGAGGACUGCAUUCACAGACAUCCCUACUGUGUUCAAAGGGUUUGUUCGAAGUGCUGCAAGUUAAUUAGAGGAAAGUUGAAGGACUGUCAGAUAACACUAAGCUUCAUUAAAUAUUGGCUAUGUAGACAGACCUAGGAGAGAGACAUGAUACAUUUGUUUUAAUUGCCUUAUGCUUUUACCACAUCUUGGCCACCUUAAAUAUCAACUGCACAUGGAGAUAUAAAUAACCAGACGUAAGGCAGAGGACAGUAGGGGAGCCUCACUCUCUUGGCAGGGGUUACACUAAGCCAGAAGUCAUCAGUAAAUGCAUAUUUUGUUUGCAUCAGACAGACAGACAAUGUGACAAUGAAGUAUCCUGAGUGCCGACUAGGUCUUGCAGAGAGUCAGGAAAUGAGACAUAUGAAAUUGGACAAGCAGGAAAACCUCUUCAUAUCCCUAGUCCCAGCACCAAUGGCUCCUUGUAUCCAGACCAGUACAUGGAGAAACACGGAUGCAGGGACAAGUGCGUUUCUGCCAGGCAAGGAGCCACCCUCUCCCUGGGUGCACAGUGGCUGCGAUGGCUCUGCAUAUGGACAUCUUCCACACUGUUAACAGGGUGGGUGGUUCAGGCUCAGCCCUUCACAACAGGGCAGGAACACCAGACACAGGGCAUGCUCUGGAUCAGACCAUCCACGGGAAACUGCUUGUGUCAGUGCUGAAAAGCAGAAGCACACUCUGCAGGGCCAACCCAAUCUGCUCUGCUGUGCAGCUUCCAGCGGGGACCUGUGUUUUUAAGCAAGCCUGAGCUGGUGUACCACCUGGUGUUUAGAGGGCUGUUUUUGGAGGGGAAGGACUAGGCUGAGCCACAUGAACACAGGUCCUGCAUGCAGGGUCUGCCAUCCGGAGUGACUGACCAUCACUGCACCGUGCUGUGACCAUCCUGAGUUGACAUGGAUGUGGUUAUCUGGAGAAUUGUGCUUUCCACCAGCACAGGCAGAAAGGUAUCUAGCUUGUGAAUGUUGGAAGGAUAUAACUGUGGGCUGAGAAGGGAGGAUCUGGGCAUUGAAGGCUUGGAAACAUUAUUUCUACUGAACCUAAUUUGGAUUUAUACAGACACUGAACUAAAUAUGUGUAUGUGCUUCCAGGCUUUCAGCUCCAGAUGAGACAGGGUUUAAAGGAUCACAACUUCAGACUUAAGCAAGAUUUAAGUAGUAAAAGCCUUUUGUGGCUCUAUUCCCGCAUCAUUUGGAGUAAUUAGAUGCCUAUUCUAUGGGGAAAUUGAAGAGCA
rnacentral:lncRNA from 1 species